CUGGAGAGGAUCAAACAGGAUCGGACAUAAUCAGGGAGGACCAGACAGGAUCAGACAGGACCAGACAGGACCAGCGAAGAUCAGACAGGACCAGGGAGGAUCAGACAGGACCAGGGAGGAUCAGACAGGAUCAGACAGGGUCAGACAUGACCAGAAAGGGUCAGACAUGACCAGAGAGGAUCAGGGAGGACUAGGGAAUAUCAGACAGGACCGGACAGGACCAGAGAGGAUCAGACAGGACCAGGGAGGAUCAGACAGGACCGGACAGGAUCAGGGAGGACUAGGGAAUAUCAGACAGGACCGGACAGGACCAGCGAGGAUCAGACAGGACCAGGGAGGAUCAGACAGGAUCAGACAGGGUCAGACAGGACCAGGGAGGAUCAGACAGGACCGGACAGGAUCAGGGAGGACUAGGGAAUAUCAGACAGGACCGGACAGGACCAGCGAGGAUCAGACAGGACCAGGGAGGAUCAGACAGGAUCAGACAGGGUCAGACAUGACCAGAGAGGAUCAGACAAGACCAGACAAGACAAAAUAAGGCUCUUGGAUGAAGGAAAACAGUAGGAACUGUUUUUUGUCCUUGGGGAUAGAAGAAACACAGGGGUCGUCAUCAUCAAAGUACGUAUGCAGAGUGAUACGGAUGCAGGAAGGGUAAUAUGGAGGAUGACAGAGAAUGCUCAGAACUUCUUUCCAGUAAUUCUCUCUAAUGGGACAAAACCAAUACCUCAUGGAGAUGAGUGUUGGGGAGGUCCGUUUGGCAGAAUUGACACAGAGGAAAGCCCAGGAAGUUCCAGAUCAGGGUGACCAAUACAGCCUACCUGUUGACGGUGAAGAAUGGAUCAAGCAGAAGGUCCACAAAAGGAAGUGGAAGCACCCCAGAUGGAUAGGUUCCUACCAGGCCAUCGCAGAAACACCUAGAGCGGUGAAGGUCUAGGAGCAUCAGGGGUGGCACCACCUAUUGCACUACCAGAAGACGUCACAACCACCAUAACAGAUAAGAGUGCACACCAAGACCGUUAUUUCUAUCCUCAAUCUCCUGAGGAUUGCUUACAGUCUAAAGCACAUUUUAUGGAUGAUUCUUAUAAUCACUAUGCUUGAGUUACUUUGCAUUUGUUGAGGCCUGGUGGCCUCAAAGGAGGGAAUGACUGGGAUAAACAAAGGCCUCAUACCUUUUAAAGGGUUAAUAAAUUGUGUGAUGACAAACUGUAGGGUCUUCUCUUAGGAGACCUCUGUGUGUGUGUUAACACCUGUUUUGAGUGUUGUGCCCUUCAGACAAUAUCAGAAGGCGGAAACCACCUACGCUCAUACUCCUCCUGUCUGGGCCCCACCAUGGCUGUCUGAGGUUCUGAGAAGACGACUGGUUUUCUGAGAACACAAGGCCACUGCAGGCCUGAUGGAAACCGCCUACGCUCACACUCCUCCUGUCUGGGCCCCACCAUGGAUGUCUGACGCUCUGAGAACACAAGGCCACUGCAGGCCUGAUGGAAACUGCCUACGCUCACACUCCUCCUGUCUGGGCCCCACCAUGGAUGUCUGAGGCUCUGAGAACACAAGGCCACUGCAGGCCUGAUGGAAACUGCCUACGCUCAUACUCCUCCUGUCUGGGCCCCACCAUGGAUGUCUGAGGCUCUGAGAACACAAGGCCACUGCAGGCCUGAUGGAAACUGCCUACGCUCACACUCCUCCUGUCUGGGC
ensembl:lncRNA